GUUAAUCUACCUAGGUGACGUUACUUACUUUCUGCACCUGGUCAUGGUGGAGUUCCGUGAAAUAGUACGCUAGGAGAUGAGAGGCGAUCAUGGUCCAAACUUCCUGCUUCGUUUAUCUUUUUUUUCUUCUUCUCAGAUAAACCGGCAUGCUCUCGCAUUUACCAGUAACAGAGGAACGGGGAAGAGAGGGAAGGCGGAAGAGAGAGAGAAAGAGAAACAUCUUCAAUCUUCAGGACUCUUUAUUUAUUGUGUAUUCAAGGCCUAUGAAAAAGCAGGGUUCUCAAAUCCAGAAGAGCAUGCAGGUGGUGAAUAAGUGUUGCUUUUGUGUUUCCAUUCCCUGUUAUUGUUACAAAAAUCUAUAUAAGCUUAUUGUUAAAUAUGUCAUGUGAAUAAAUGCAUUUCCCCUU